AAGUAAACAAAGCAUAAUUUUGAAACUAACAUGUAUAUAUAAAUAAAGAUCGAAACUAUCUAUAUUACAGUUCAGAAGCCAACUGGAUUUAGCCUGUGUAAUGACUCAUAACCUAUAGCCUUCUUUACUGAAGAUUUCUCUGCAUGUAUUAUAAACUGCUCUGGAUACUGUCAAGUGGUCAGAAAAGCAGAGUUGCAUUUGCAAAGAUAACUUUCAAAAACCUUAAAUUCUACUACUAGAUGAGCCAUCGAAUCAUCUUGUGAGUCAUGAUGAACAUCUGAUAUCUGAAAGCGUGGAAUAGCUGUGGGCGGUAUCUGAAGGGAAAGUGACACCUUUCGCUGGGACAUUCCAAGAUUACAAGAAGAUACUUCAGUCCUAGGAUGGCUUCCAGUGUUUUUUUGGCUGGUAAGGUAAGGAUUAUCCUAGAAAGUUUUGUGAGAAUUAAAAUGAUGUGAGCAGCCCUUGCAGAAAACAAAGAGGUAGUGGAAUUAGUCCCACCAUUUUCGAGUCAUGAUACAGAAGAAUAUACAGCAUCAGUGAUGUUUUGUGGAUUUACUAAAUUGGGAAGAUGAUUAUGGAAGCUUGUGGAUACAAUCAAAAGUUGCAUAUUAUUAUUACCUCCUUGCUGUUUUUAAAGUUGCAUAUCUUUCAGUUAUAUCAAGUAUACUAUAAUAAUUACAUUUUUUGGUCCAAGUAGAAUACAGGUUGUUUUUGACUUUGUUCUACUGCUGGGACAUUUGCUGCUAUUUUGGGAAUAGUCGGAGCUGAUUUUUUUGUUGAAUUAAUGGGUUCUUUCCAGGGAUUUUUUGUAUUUUUUUGCUGCUCUAUUCUGGAACUUAUAUUUUACAGGAGAGAGAGAGAGAGUCAAUUUGUGUUUUAAGACAAUUCUAAUUGCCUUCACUAUUAGAUUGUUGUUGGAUGAUUGAGAUCCCUGUUGCUUUUUUUUUGGAGUGCUAAAAUGGCAUGCUUUUUGGCCUUUCUGGCUGCUGUUUGUUUAAUGAGAAAUCCGUAAACAUGUUGGGAAAACAA